AUACCUUUCUCGGCCUUUUGGCUAAGAUCAAGUGUAGUAUCUGUUCUUAUCAGUUUAAUAUCUGAUAUGUGGACCAUGUGUUCACAAUGAUAUUAAAUUUAUUUUUUAUGGGGGAGGGUGCACCAUAGUGGCUUGCCACUGGGGCCCUCAUGUGUUCCUUGGACGUUGCACUACUGUCCAGGUGUGGCGCACCCCAA
rfam:Triticum aestivum genome assembly, contig: Triticum_aestivum_CS42_TGACv1_scaffold_196569_3AL